AUCACGGAUGUACUGCCAGUACCAUUCCCGCGCGUUUCCUGUAACCAGAUUCAUUAAGAGGGGGACACGUGACUAGCCGGGACCAGUAACCGCUCCAGUUUCUGCGCUCCACUUGACAGUCGCCCUACGGAUAUCCUACAAUUGCGAACACCACCUUUGUGUGGCCUGUCAUCUACUCUAGUCAUCGCUCUAAGCGAUGGCC